AGGUGGAUUUCUGAGUUUGAGGCCAGCCUGGUCUACAGAGUGAUUUCCAGGACAGCCAGGGCUCCACAGAGAAACCCUGUCUCGAAAACCAACCAACCUACCAACCAACAAACAAACAAGACGGCACCAGAAAUCAGGUGAUCCUGGAAUAUAGAAAAAGCAAACGAUGCGAGGGAGUCUCCAAACGACUCCAGAUGAGGCCAUUGCAGGCUGGAGAGAGCUGCUGACCACACCCCAGCAGAACAAUGGCUCUGGCAUCAGUCUGGAAAGACAACUCUUCACCAUGGGACCCGGACAGCAGGGAAGCAAAUACAUCUGUGGCAAUGGACAUCUUUGUUCAGCUUUGUCUUUCCUUGUUUCGCAGGGGACAGACUUUCUAGGCACUGCGCGGGAAUUAAAACGCCGCUGACUCUGCCCUGUAGUGACGCACACUUACUAUUGCUAGCAGGAUGGAUCUGUCAAUACACGAGUGAGUGGGGGGUAAUCAUUGCGUUAAGGAAGAAAGCACAGGCUGAACUUUCUAAAACUUGUGGGGGUGUCAUGAACAAUACAAGGUUAAUAGAGAACUGAGAACAAGUGGGAAUUACAGCUGCAUGUUACAUAGCAGAAGCAGUCUGCUGAAAUAACCUUAAAACACACACACACACAUACACACACGCUUUCCAAAACAUCAUAUAUGUGCCUUCCUUGGAUGGUCUAGUCAGUAACUAGUGACAGAGAGCUUUCAUUGCCAGGUUCUGUUUCUCAUGUAUAGAACAAGGUACAUCUUUUUUUUUCUCUUGCAUAACUGUUAUUCCCACUUAAUCCCCUACCUGUAAGAGUAUAGGAUGGAAUUUAAAAGAGGCAGUGUUUUCUACCCCAGCUAGCUCCCAAAUAAUUGAGUCAGAGACCUAUGGAUUAAUUCAACAAGAUUUAAGCACAAUAACUGAGCAGGUACACCUAGCCCUCUAUGCUAUCUAGCUACUUCCCAGCCACACACCCCGAGUAACUCGCAUUUAGUCUCUGCUCGGCUCGCUCUGAUGUGGCUGUCUGUCCUCGUGGAGAACUAACUCCCUUGGCAACCUGUUCUCAUGCUGAUACUCAUGGCGACCCGUUUUCUCCCUCCACCUGGUAGCCCUUCUUCUCCUGGACCUUCACCUGCCCCAUGGAGAACUCCUCCUCCCUGGGACCCUGGCUGGGAUAGGACUCUUUCCAUCCUAUCUCUUCUUCCCAGUCAUUAGCUGUUCAGAUCUUUAUUAACCAAUCAGAGAUAAUUAAAGAGGAUUCUUUACAAAAUUCAUGACAACACCCAUGUCCAGACUUUAACUAGUUCUCAGGGCACAGAGAUAUUCUCAAUAUCUGAAUAAAUAAUACGAGACUCUUCUCCCAACAAAAGGGUUGAAACUUUUGAUAAUAACUGAACCGGUAGUAACCAGAUGAGUGAAGAGGAGGGAGUGUUCAAUGCAGAUUUGUAGAAGCCCAACGCAGAAGCAAAGGUCUAGAACAGACCACAGCAGAGUACAGACUAACCAUCAAAUCUGGACCCUUGCCUGUCUUUUUAAAUAAAGUUUUAUUUGGACACAUCCCUAUGCAGUCAUUUACAUUUUGUUUAUGGCACUUUCUCUGUGAUAACAAGAACACUGAGAAGUUGCAACAGAGAGAUAUAUGCUAUAGAAAGCUAAGAACAAGUGUGGUCUGGCCCUUCACAGAAAGCCUCUGCCAGCCUAUUGCCCACAGGAACGGGAAAACAAGAUGGGUGUGCUGUAGAGAAGUCCAAAUGGCUAGGACUCGGUAGUUCUAAGAGUGACGUGGUGCAGCAUGAGGCAGAGAAGUGAGCCUGGCCAAACCCUAGGAUGUUGGUCUCAUUCCCUAUGGAAAAGGAUAUGACAGCAGUUUGACAUUUACUUCUGUCAGGUGCACAUAAGAGACGGAAAAUUGUGACAGGUGAGCUCUCCAAGAGCCCUUGAGCUAAUAGACACAAGGGAGCCUAAUGCUUAUUAUAUCUUGCUCUCUGGUGAGGAAAUAGAAUUUGGCACACAGGGGCUCAGUCAGUCCUUACUGAAUAGAGUGGAACCUGUACCCAUGACACCCCUUGUUUCCAGCUUCCUUACUAGAUGGCAUUGAGAUUCAGGCAACAGCGGGUUAAUGGUGAACUGCAAGCCCAAGAGAGAAAUCCCCGCCCUUCAGUUCUCAUGCCAGCAUCAUCAAAUACCGGUCAUGGGCCAAACCUGUUUAUGCUGUGCCCUAUGGCCUAAUGAGAGGCGGGUAGGACAAGAGACAAGCUCCACUAAUAACAGCCAUAAACAUAACAUUGCUUGCAUCUGUGAGGAGUCUUUGGAAGAUUUUGAAUUGUCUUUCCUGUCCCAUAUAACUACUCACUUGUAAUUUUAUCUCCAUCAGAGGCAAAAAUCAAGCCACACAAAGAGGGUGUGACUUUCCCAAGGCCACUGAGCAAACCGGAAGGGCACUUUUUAAAAAGUUGAGAAAACUGUGCAGUGUGUCCAAACACAGGUCUGUUUCUAGCCUAAGCUGGGCUGGGCUGGGCUGGGCUGGAUUCAUGACUCUUAAACAUGAAUCAUUUAGAGAAGACCCAGGCACACAGGCUGUGCCAGACACUUGUCUUUAGGACUCAAGCAUUCUCCCUGCCCAUCAGAUUCCAACAACUGUCACCAAAACCCAUCACAAUCAGAACCUCUUUGAAGGUCUAGCCUCAAGAAGUUAAAUGGACUAGCGUGGGGUUCUGCUAUUUCUAGUCAUUCUCCAUUCAUAUUCUCUCUCUCUCUCUCUUUCAUAUUCUUCUACAGCUAGCAUAGCUACAGCUUCUGGUUGCUGGUGUUCUCCUUUUCUCCCACAGAAUUGUUAACAAAACCCUAUUUUAUUC
rnacentral:lncRNA from 1 species